CAAUAGCGUAUAUUAAAGCUGUUGCGGUUAAAAAGCUCGUAGUUGGAUUUCUGUCAAGGACAACUGGUCCGCCCUCCGGGUGAGCACAUAGUUUGGUCUUGGCAUCUUGCUGGAAACUGUUGCUGCGCUUGGUUGUGUGGUGCAGCUUUCAGCACUUUCACUUUGAGGAAAUUGGAGUGUUUCAAGCAGGCACAUGCCUUUGGACACAGUAGCAUGGAAUAAUUAGAUUGGGCUUUUGCUCCAACUUGUUGGUUCCUGGAGCUGAGGUGAGAAUCAAUGGAGAUUGUUGGGGGCAUCCGAAUUUAGCCGUCAGAGGUGAAAUUCUUGGAUCUGCUAAAGACGGACAACUGCGAAAGCGUUUGCCCAGGAUGUUUUCAUUGA
rnacentral:rRNA from 1 species